rnacentral:lncRNA from 1 species
GGAGGAGACGCCAGCAGAGGAAAGAAACAAUAUUAACCAAAACAAUGUAAGUAAAACUUCUCAUUUACACAGAAAGACAUUGAUCACAUGUUUAAUGUAUAAAUAGAAGUCACGUUUUACUAACACCUGUAAAAUGUUGGAGAGGAACGCCAACAUCCACUGAUAGAGGAGAAGAAAGAUGGAGGACGGGAGUGCCGGCAUCUACCAAUGGAGGAGAAGAAAUACUUUUAUUAACCAUAACAAUAAUCCGCUGAUGGAGAACAAGGAAGAUGGAAGAGUACCAUCAUCUACCAAUGGAGGAGGAGAAAAAUGGGGGAGCACCAGCAUCCAAAAGUGUCCCAUAAUCAGCCCCAGGAGGAGAUAUCAGCAGAGGAAAGAAAGACUAUUAACCUAAACAAUUGUCCCACAAUCAGCCCCAGGAGGAGACGCCAGCAGAGGAAAGAAACAAUAUUAACCAAAACAAUGUAAGUACAACUUCUCAUUUCCACAGAAAGACGCUGAUCACAUAUUUAAUGUAUAAAUAGAAGUCACGUUUUACUAACACCUGUAAAAUGUUGGAGAGGAACGCCAACAUCCACUGAUGGAGGAGAAGAAAGAUGGAGGACGGGAGUGCCGGCAUCUACCAAUGGAGGAGAAGAAAUACUUUUAUUAACCAAAACAAUAAUCCACUGAUGGAGAACAAGGAAGAUGGAAGAGUACCAUCAUCUACCAAUGGAGGAGGAGAAAAAUGGGGGAGCACCAGCAUCCAAAAGUGUCCCAUAAUCAGCCCCAGGAGGAGAUAUCAGCAGAGGAAAGAAAGACUAUUAACCAAAACAAUGUAAGCAAAACCUCUCAUUUACACAGAAAGACACUGAACUUGUUUUUAUUGUAAAAAUGUUGUCAUUGGUAAAAAAAAAAAAAAAGAGAGAAAUAGAUGUUUGUUUACACUAAAACCUG